GAACUACUCCCUCCGUUCGGAAUUACUUGUCGCGAAAAUGGAUGUAUCUAGACGUAUUUUAGUUCUAGAUACAUCCAUUUCCGAGACAAGUAACUCCGAACGGAGGGAGUACAUG
rnacentral:pre_miRNA from 1 species